AUGCUUUUUACUCCAAGAUGUCUUCAUGACUUCCAUAAUGCAAGAUCCUUCCUUCAUAGGUGGUUCGCAAACCUGCACAAUUAUCAAGCUCACAUCAGUACAACACUAAAAGAAAACCUGCAUAGACGACCAUUUUCCAAACAAGUUCAGUAUCUAUAUAUAAUCAAGCCAAUUCAAUUUGAAGUACAAAAAUAA